ensembl:miRNA
CUUGGCGGUCAGGUGGGGGCCCACGGCCUGGUGCAGCAGGUCGCGGCACUCGAGCAGCCCGGCGGCCAGCACGCGCCGGUCGAAGGUGAAGUCCACCUGCUGGAAGCUGACGG